CAUAGCGAUGGCCACUGAGUUUCCAUAGUAACUACCGGCAGACGGCAGCCGAAGGGGCCAAUGCGCGCCAGGGCUUGCCUCUGCGCGACGCAAAGUAUGCUGGGACGGGUGUGGAGGCCGCGGAGCUUCUGGCGGGCGCUAGCUACGCCCUGUUCAUCUUGCCGCAUCUUUUUCACUAGGUGUAGGCAGAGAACUUCUGCAUUCUUUAAUGUCAGUCCAAAAACACCAGGGGAUCAUCUGAAUGUAGACAACUCUGCAAAUCUGCUAAAUCAGAGAGGAAAACGUCGAAUCUAUCUAUGUACAAUCUGUGUAGACUCUUGACAUAGAUUUGUUGUUAAAUCUAGAGAACUGAAGUCCAUAAACCAAUGGAUAAAUUAUCACAGGAGAAACACUUCAUUGAUGAAAAAUAUUAUCUUAUUUAACAAGUAUUCUUCUUAUGUAAAGGAAAUUACAUUUUAAUUCUUCCAUUAUUGGCACUCCAGAAUACGAAAAGGUGUGACAUUCUUUAUAUACCUAAACAUUGAGGAUUUGAUAUUUUUUUUCUUGCUCUGUUGGGAUAAAUUCUGUACACUUGGGAUAAAAUAAGGGGCAUAUCUUUUGUUUUACAACAUCAUGCAUAUUAAACCCAAUGUAAUAUGUUUAUCCAAAAUGAAAUUAAACAAAUACGAAGUUAUAAACAUAAUAUAAACCUGUUACAUAAUUGAAUUUGAUACCUGAAAACUGAUAGACUUAAAAAUGUGUCAAUCAGCAAGUGUUACAAGUCAUAAUUUAAGAAGAAAUUGCAGAGUAUUAUUAUUAUUUCAGAUGUGAAAUAUGGAAUUUUAUGUUUAUUGCUCUCUGAUCAUUUAAACUAUAUAAGUAAAGUUUUUAAUUAAAAUGCAAAGUUUAUAUUACUCUCAUCCAGUACAUGUUAUUAUUUCAUGUGUAUGUAUAUUAAAUAUUUUAUUAUCUUUUUU